CGAUAAAUAAGUAGAUCUACGUAAGAUCUAGAUUCCGAGCGAGGCGAACGAAAGAUGUCUAUUUCAAAAGUUGUCUAUUUUUGUAAGGGUUCGUGGUCGCAAAUACCAUGCCCUUAUCCCCAAAGAACUAUUUCUGUUCUUGUGUGUAGCAUUUGGCCACGUUUGUGUCAUUCUCGAUUAACAUCUCUAAGAAAAUCGCGUCAUUUCAUUUUCAAAGCCUACCUGGGCUUCAAAUAACCCCAUAAUUUAGGCCGUGGGAACGCUUCCUCGAAAUAAAUAGCAAUUAAAUUUAUCUAAUAGUUGGAAAUCGAAUGGCACAAGACAAGGCAAAGGGCAAACAGGCAACAGCCAAUGCAACGCAAACUCGACGGCGAAAAGUCAAAGUAAGCAAGAGUAAGGGAAUCAAAACAUCCAAGAAUCUGUGCAACCUGUGUAAUAGGAGAACACAAUCCAACAUGGUUUUGUGUCCAUCGUGCCAGCAAUGGCAGCAUAGAGGCUGCGCGAAAAUAAGCCUCUGACUACACAUCCAACUGGCGCUGCGUCUUUUGUAACAACUGAUUCUUAUACACUGUCUUCUUGAGUUACAGAUAGAAAAAUACUUGCUCUAGAAAAUGAAAUAAAAAAAUUUCCAGAUGACA